rnacentral:rRNA from 1 species
AUUGAACGCUGGCGGCAGGCUUAACACAUGCAAGUCGAGCGGGGUGAUGGUGCUUGCACUAUCACUUAGCGGCGGACGGGUGAGUAAUGCUUAGGAAUCUGCCUAUUAGUGGGGGACAACAUCUCGAAAGGGAUGCUAAUACCGCAUACGUCCUACGGGAGAAAGCAGGGGAUCACUUGUGACCUUGCGCUAAUAGAUGAGCCUAAGUCGGAUUAGCUAGUUGGUGGGGUAAAGGCCUACCAAGGCGACGAUCUGUAGCGGGUGUGAGAGGAUGAGCCGCCACACUGGGACGGGGACACGGCCCAGACUCCUACGGGAGGCAGCAGUGGGGAAUAUUGGACAAUGGGGGGAACCCUGAUCCAGCCAUGCCGCGUGUGUGAAGAAGGCCUUAUGGUUGUAAAGCACUUUAAGCGAGGAGGAGGCUCGUUUGGUUAAUACCCAAGAUGAGUGGACGUUACUCGCAGAAUAAGCACCGGCUAACUCUGUGCCAGCCGCCGCAGUAA